CAGUAGCCACGGUAAAACAGAGGGUGCAAGCGUUAAUCGGAAUUACUGGGCGUAAAGCGCGCGUAGGUGGUUCGCCAAGUUGGAUGUGGAAUCCCCGGGCUCAACCUGGGAACUGCAUCCAAAACUGGCGAGCUAGAGUAUGGUAGAGGGUGGUGGAAUUUCCUGUGUAGCGGUGAAAUGCGUAGAUAUAGGAAGGAACACCAGUGGCGAAGGCGACCACCUGGGCUCAUACUGACACUGAGGUGCGAAAGCGUGGGGAGCAAACAGGAUUAGAUACCCCAGUAGUCCCUGUCUCUUAUAC
rnacentral:rRNA from 1 species